UGGGAUAGCUCAGUCGGUAGAGCAUGAGACUCUUAAUCUCAAGGUCAUGGGUUGAACAAAAAGAUUCUUGAAUUGGGCUAG